GUCUCCGUUCCGUGGCGCAAUCGGUUAGCACGUUGGCUGUUAACCGAAAGGUUGGUGGUUCAAGCCCACCCGGGGACG